rnacentral:rRNA from 1 species
CACGGUAAACGAUGGAUGCCCGCUGUUUGCGAUAUACUGUGAGCGGCCAAGAGAAAUCGUUAAGCAUCCCACCUGGGGAGUACGCCGGCAACGGUGAAACUCAAAGGAAUUGACGGGGGCCCGCACAAGCGGAGGAACAUGUGGUUUAAUUCGAUGAUACGCGAGGAACCUUACCCGGGCUUGAACUGCCAGCGAACGAUACAGAGAUGUUGAGGCCCUUCGGGGCGCUGGUGGAGGUGCUGCAUGGCUGUCGUCAGCUCGUGCCGUGAGGUGUCGGCUUAAGUGCCAUAACGAGCGCAACCCUUUUCGUCAGUUGCCAUCAGGUGAAGCUGGGCACUCUGGCGAUACUGCCACCGUAAGGUGUGAGGAAGGUGGGGAUGACGUCAAAUCAGCACGGCCCUUACGUCCGGGGCUACACACGUGUUACAAUGGGGAGUACAGAGAGUCGGUGCAUGGCAAUGUGCAUCCAAUCAUGAAAGCUCUCCUCAGUUCGGAUUGGGGUCUGCAACCCGACC